CCUAUUCCAUAUGGUCUCUCCGACGAAAGAUCUGUCUAUUUGACAUUUUUGUAUCCAGUUGCCUCCCUUUACUCUGGUAUAAUCUACAAGAAACCUGCACCAAGAGUGAAGUGGGAUGUUUUGCUGUACUGCUUCCAAUGGCAGAUAUAUGUGUGUGGCUUUGCUGUGCUAGUUUGGGUUGUUGCGCUGUUUCAUACUUUAAAGAGGACCAGCGAGUGGCUGUUCUUCCAAAGAGACAUGAAAAGAGACAAUAUAUUCGUGGGGAAGACUGCAAUCAUCUUAAGAGUUCCAUUCAAACAGGGUUCAUCUACAUUACCAUCCACAGACUCACAACGUAUCCUGUUCAGUUUCUGGUGGUUAUUUUGUAUUAUCAUCACGUCUGUAUACUCCGGUAACCUCACUGCCUAUCUAGCUCUCGCCAAAGAUAAUCUUCCUUUCACGGGUUUGGGCGAUGUACUCGACAGUGGGUAUAACUUGGGAGUAGAUACAGGAAGUCUUCAAGAAUCAGUUUUUAAGAAUUCAAAUAUCUCCCUUUAUAAACGACUGUGGCGGAAGAUAAGAGAACACCAACCCGACAAUAUGAC